ACUUGGGGCCCUUCAGCUUUCCUUCAGGUCCUUCAAUAUUCACAUCUGGAACUUCAACACCCACCUUGGGUCCUGAGAUGUCCACAUCAGCCUUGGGCAGGUUCACAUCCACUUCUGGGCCCUCUGCUUUGAACCCUGGCACACUGAAUUUGGGCAUUUUCAUCUUGGGCAUCUUCAAGUGCCAGUCUGGGCCAUGAACAUCCACAUCUGGGGCAUCAAUGUCC
rnacentral:lncRNA from 1 species